GACGAACGCUGGCGGCGUGCUUAACACAUGCAAGUCGAACGGAAAGGCCCUGCUUUUGUGGGGUGCUCGAGUGGCGAACGGGUGAGUAACACGUGAGUAACCUGCCCUUGACUUUGGGAUAACUUCAGGAAACUGGGGCUAAUACCGGAUAGGAGCUCCUGCUGCAUGUUGGGGGUUGGAAAGUUUCGGCGGUUGGGGAUGGACUCGCGGCUUAUCAGCUUGUUGGUGGGGUAGUUGCUUACCAAGGCUUUGACGGGUAGCCGGCCUGAGAGGGUGACCGGCGACAUUGGGACUGAGAUACGGAGCAGACUCCUACGGGAGGCAGCAGUGGGGAAUCUUGCACAAUGGGCGGAAGCCUGAUGCAGCAACGCCGCGUGCGGGAUGACGGCCUUCGGGUUGUAAACCGAUUUCGCCUGUGACGAAGCGUGAGUGACGGUAAUGGGUAAAGAAGCACCGGCUAACUACGUG
rnacentral:rRNA from 1 species